UGCAAGUCGAGGGGCAGCAUGAUUGAAGCUUGCUUCAAUUGAUGGCGACCGGCACACGGGCGAGUAACACGUAUCCAACCUUCCGUACACUCAGGGAUAGCCUUUCGAAAGAAAGAUUAAUACCUGAUGGUAUCUUAAGCACGCAUGUAAUUAAGAUUAAAGAUUUAUCGGUGUACGAUGGGGAUGCGCUCCAUUAGGUAGUAGGCGGGGUAACGGCCCACCUAGCCUACGAUGGAUAGGGGUUCUGAGAGGAAGGUCCCCCACAUUGGAACUGAGACACGGUCCAAACUCCUACGGGAGGCAGCAGUGAGGAAUAUUGGUCAAUGGACGAGAGUCUGAACCAGCCAAGUAGCGUGAAGGAUGAAGGUCCUACGGAUUGUAAACUUCUUUUAUAAGGGAAUAAAACCUCCCCCGUGUGGGAGCUUGUAUGUACCUUAUGAAUAAG
rnacentral:rRNA from 1 species